AUUGAAUCACCGUAGGCCAUUAUUGAAUUUAUAGAACAGAAUGCUGGCUUUCUAUUGGUGGUAACCACUUAAUGCGCUUUUUUGCAGGGGCUUGCGCUCGCUGUCAAACAGCUCAAAAUGCACCGACUGCUUGUGAAAUGGGAACAGUUGAGUAAAUUCAUCCAUCUGAAAGACGGAGAAAGUCUUGAAGACAAAUGCUUCUCGGCCUUUGAUCUGAAGCGCGACAUCCAUAAUCUGACAUUCAAGAUAUAUGUGGAAGAGUUCAAGACAUACGCAGACUUUGAUCUUCGAGACCUUCCGGCGUCGGCGAUGAUCCAGAUGCAGGUGUCCAUGUAUGUCGUGGGCGAAUCUGAAGAAACGCAGUUUACUGGCCCUGAUUUGUUCGAGGAAAUACUGGGAGAGGCAGGGUGUGUAGAGUUUUGUUAACGUAUCUUAUGUGUUAUAUUGUAUGUGUCAUUUUAAAAUUUAUCCAGAAAAUGUAUUUCAAAACUUCUUCAAGUGGCUCUUUUCGUUCUCUCUAUUCAUCAGUUUUCCCUCCAUGAAAGUUGUAAAAGCACUGAACUGGGACACUUCAUUGGUGGUGAGAGCCGAGAGAUGCAGGCAGUCACAUCUAUCUCAUGUCUGAGUUCCGCGUGUGUCUGUAACUGGGAACGCCAGAGUCCAGAGAGCGUCGGUGGGUGAAAUGAGCUGUUAAAAGUCCCUUCCCACUAUCGAAUAGAGCAGAAAUGUGUAUUGACUUGUAGCGAUGUUUACCUUUUUGUCUAUUCUGUUGUGUUUUAAGGACCAGCACGGACGCGCCUCCUCCAGAGCAGCCCUCCAUGGAAGCCACUGCAGAGCGGUCGACUGGCAAGUCUAAGGCACCAGACAUCGCGACCAGCUCGGACGCACCUCCUCCGAAGAAGCCCGCCAUGGAGGCCAACAUGAGUUCAAGUGGUACAUGCAGU